rnacentral:rRNA from 1 species
UACGAAGGGGGCGAGCGUUGUUCGGAUUUACUGGGCGUAAAGGGCGCGCAGGCGGCGCAUUUUGUCAGGCGUGAAAGCCCCGGGCUUAACCUGGGAACUGCGUCGGAUACUGGAUGGCUUGAAUUCGGGAGAGGGAUGCAGAAUUCCAGGUGUAGCGGUGAAAUGCGUAGAUAUCUGGAGGAAUACCGGUGGCGAAGGCGGCAUCCUGGACCGACAUUGACGCUGAACGGCGAAAGCUAGGGGAGCAAACGGG